CAUCUACUCCCUCCGUUCUGAAUUACUUGUCUUAGAUUUGUCUAGAUACGGAGGUAUCUAGCACUAAAAUGAGUCUAGAUACAUCCGUAUCUAGACAAAUCCAAGACAAGUAAUUCGGAACGGAGGGAGUACUAU
rnacentral:pre_miRNA from 1 species